rnacentral:rRNA from 1 species
UUGAACGCUGGCGGUAUGCUUUACACAUGCAAGUCGAACGGCAGCACGGGGGCAACCCUGGUGGCGAGUUGCGAACGGGUGAGUAAUGCAUCGGAACGUGUCCUUAAGUGGGGGAUAACGCACCGAAAGGUGUGCUAAUACCGCAUAAUCUCUACGGAGAAAAGCAGGGGAUCGCAAGACCUUGCGCUUUUGGAGCGGCCGAUGUCUGAUUAGCUAGUUGGUGAGGUAAAGGCUUACCAAGGCGUCGAUCAGUAGCUGGUCUGAGAGGACGACCAGCCACACUGGGACUGAGACACGGCCCAGACUCCUACGGGAGGCAGCAACGGGGAAUUGUGGACAAUGGGGGAAAACCUGAUCCAGCCAUGCCGCGUGAGUGAAGAAGGCCUUCGGGUUGUAAACCUCUUUCAGCCGGAACGAAACGGUCACGGUUAAUACCUGUGACUACUGACGGUACCGGAAGAAGAAGCACCG